UUCCUUAAGACCAAUACCCAAUACCCGUUAAGCUAAUCCUAGGGACCCUUCUAGACUUUUUUUGGAACAAUAAAUAAAUAAAAAGACCCUAAGGACCUAAGAGCAAUUAGCACAAAAAUACACAUUUAGACCUAGAUCUAUAUAAUAGAGGUAAUGCCUAAUGUUGGAGGGGACCAAAAAUUAGAAUCCGCCGCUGAACCUAGAGCUAGACCCCUAAAAAUCAACCGCAAAUCUCUUUCUUUUUUCAGAAAAACGGCAGCUUCAUGCCCAAAUUCCCUUUUUUCUGAUUCUUAAACCAUCUUUCCUUUCCAUUUGAAGACACACACAUAUACAGAAGGAGAUUAAACAAAGGAAAUGGAAGUUUAGCCAUCAAAUAGCUAAAAAUAGCUUUAAACCCAGCUGACUACAAAAUGAAAAACAGCCUUCCCCCUUUGAUUUUUGGAUUCAUCUCCUUUCUCUCAAAAUUCAACUCACACAUAUAAAUACUAUACUACUCAUAACAAAAGGGGAGGGCACAUCGAGUUCUGGUGAAAGUUCGAGGUCGACAGUGCAUGCCUUUCCGUCGAGGUCUCUAUCGCGAUUCCAUCUUUGGAACAAAUCAUCAGUUAAAAAAUCAAAAGUGAAAGUUUAAUAUUAAGGUACAAAUAAGGAAUAAUUAUUCUUGGAUAUACACACGAAGGCUGCCUAGUUUUUGGUACGUGACAUGUUCAUAUUUAUGGCAUCUAAAAAUGGGAACAAUGAAGGUUUUGGGAAGUCAUUACCCAGUGCACUUUGUUAAUACUACAUCCCAAGAAUGGUGCCACAUAAAUUUUAUAUCAAGAUACUGCUGGGGAACACUCGAUCUUCAUGGCAAACAGGACGUGAUCACCUAUUCGACAACGAUUGCGGACAUUUUGGAUACAACAUGGGAGAAAUUCGAGUUACAUCUGCAAUUAGGGACAUCAUACCUUCAUGUAUGAUGUAUCUGCUGAGACAUCAAGAUUAGAAGCAGAAAAUGUAUACAAAAACUGGAGGCCAAGUACUACACUUACAACAAAUGCUAUGCUAAUAACUGCUUGUGCGAGAAGUUAUUAUGGGACAGAUCAUGAUCUACAUUAUGCACGGAAGACAAAGUUACGGGGCAAUGAGUUAUACAGAUGCUAUCAUGGCAUGCUUAGUGCUAGUUUUUAUUCAAGAACCUUACUACAUUAUUAUAUUUCUUUAUCAUUGGUUAAUUAAUUCAGAAUUUACUAUUAGGAUUGAGUAUUCCUUGCUCAGUUCUGGUAAUAGGGGCUAUGUAAUUACCUUAGCAUGUCUUUACAUCUUGUAAGACUCUACACUACUUUUGUUUGUUUUGCUUUAGAUA